rnacentral:lncRNA from 1 species
AUAAAUACAGAUCUCACUGUUCCAAUGCCUGAUACGGUGAUGGAGCAGGGAAGGGGAAGAACACAAAGAAAAUGAGAAAAAUAAGUGUUGGGAUAGAGUUAUAUCAGAAUAAAAACAACUUUUCUAGGAUAAAAAUAAUAUAACCCACAACAUGCCUACUCUCCUAGUCUAGUGGGGUAUAUAAUACCUUUUGAAAAACUAUUUGUCCUCAUAGACAGCUGUGCUGAAAAUACUGAAAAGCUAUAACAGAAAAUUCUAACAGAAAAGGGGAUCCAAUCCCUACAAAAGACAAAAGAGAUCCUUCUAGAUAUAAUCCUUUAACCAAAUGGGCCUGAAUGUCCUUCUAAUAGGCCUUGUGCUUGUGAGUCCCGUAUCAAUAGUCAACCCCUGCAGAGCAACCUUGUCCUCAAGGUUUUGGAUGGAUGAACUUGGCAGAGAAGUUGUGAUGGAGGACACAAUGGUAUAGGAACUAGGGGUGUGAGAGGUAAAACGGGGUGGUGUGCUUAUUGUUGGGUUAUUAUUGAUAGUGGGUGUUGGUUUUUGGGGGGGCAGG